GUGCUCCCUUAGGCAGUACAUAUACUAAAAUUGGAGCGGUACAGAGAUUAGCUCGGGGAGUUCCUGUUGUAGCUCAGCAGAAAUGAACCCCACUAGUAUCUGUGUGGAUGAGUUUUAGAUCCCUGGCCUGCUCAGUGGGUUAAGGAUCCAGUGUUGCCAUGAGCUGUGGUGUAGAUUGCAGACAUGGCUCAGAUCCCACAAUGCUGUAGCUGUGGGGUAGGCCAGCAGCUGAAGCUCCAAUUCAACCCCUAGCCUGGGAACUUCCGUAUGCCUUGGGUGUAGCCCUAAAAAAGACACACACACACACACACACACACACACACACACACAGAUUAGUGUGGCCCCUGCAGAAGGAUGACAGGCAAAUUCAUGAAAUGUUUCAUAUUUUU
rnacentral:snRNA from 1 species